UGCAACGAGAUUUUGACAGCUUGACAGACAGCUAGUUGUUUACGUUUUUAGUUUCCAUUGGUGCGCCGCGUGUUUUCCGUGACUUGCGAUAAGUGAAAGUGAUAUACAACAUUUCCGCGUUUUUCUUCGUCAGUUUGUCCAACUUUCGAACGAUACAACAAACCUACCCUCUAACGAUGCUGAACGAAGAGGUAGAUGAUACCGAGUUCUUCCAGCAAGACUUUACGACAGCCUCCGACUGGGAGCUGUUCAAUGCACGGCUGGAGGAAAUAUUUCACGAGUGGAAGCUUUCGUUCGGUCAGAGCACAUUCCGGAAGCUGGGACACCACGAACUGGCGUGCUGCCGUUGGAAUGUAGCACGCGAAACGAUCAAGUUUGCAGAUGUCGAACUGCAGGUUGUACACUACCGCGCGGUCCUUGAUCCAGAACCGGAAGGUACGGAGUCAACGGAACCCGUUUCCGGAUGCCAAACGUUCGUGGAUUUAAUGUCGAUCGAGAAUGAUUACUGUGUUGCGUACGGGCAGCGGUCCGAUGGUAAUGGUGACGAUGAUCAGAAAUUGCAUCCACUUGCGCAAUGGUACGGAUUGCGUGAGUUCGUGAUCGUAGCGCCGGUGAAGAAAUCGAUCUCGAACGAAAGCCAAAUCCGUAUCCUGAUGAGUUCGGUGCACAUUGCGGUCGCGGAAAGUAGUUGCGAUGUGCCGGUGUUUGUGCAGGCCAUGGACAAGGUACAGUACGUUUAUCUGGGCGUUUGUGAAUCCGGUCCCGUGCGGAUGUCGUUCGAUAUCGUGCAUUUGCAUAUAACGCCACCGACCUGCAAAUAUUUGUCCGGGUUGCUGGAGGUGUUUAAAGGAAAGAUCGGUGUGGCUUACGUUGAUCCCGUCGUCGUUUCGGUCCGGUUUACGUAUCAAUUGACGCGUUUCUUAUCCGGGGCGUACAUUAGUGAUAAGAGCGUCCCUUUCACGGAGCAUUGGCCAAACAGUGUCGUGUCGCUUCCGUUUGGCGUAUCGAUUGAUCCAGUCGCUGAGGUGACUGUGCACUGUACCUGGCCACAGGUAGCGGACAACGUGGUCGUCGAUUCGCAAACUUACUCUGACUUUGAUCCCUUGACGGCACCCGUCUGGAGCCUUCGUGCACAGUUCGAGGACACGCCCGUCUGCUAUUUGGCCGACUGUCUGCAGGAAUAUCUGCAAAUCGCUGAUUCGCGGCGUGCCCUUACGGAAUACUUCAGCGAACUCGCUUUCGGAACAAAUCUGCCACCCAUCGAGGGUGCCAAUCCGCUCGAUCUGCUCACCGAAUCGAAAAUUCCACGUCUUUCUGCCGUACUACCGGGUCGGAUUGGGGCACCGAAGAAUGCACCGGCCAAGCUUGAGGGUCCACUAAACGAUGAACAGUUGAAGGACAUGCUUUACUAUCUGUUCCCGGACGCUCAGAAGGAACCACGCUGGCCGUACGCCCCAUCCGUAACCGGUCCGGCCGAGUUCGAUCCGGUGCGAAUUAAAUCGGCCAAUCCAGAUUCGUUAGUGCAUCGGUUGGCAACACUGCUUGCACUGUGUAAUGCGUGCUUCGGAGGGAAGCGAGCAGUCGCACAGCUGUGGGCCGAAUUUGCGCAGGAAAUGCGGUACCGUGUGGAACGCUGCAUUCCAAUUCCAGGCGUGGCCAGCGGCUUCCCGGACUCGAGAACCUGUCUACUACACCAGAAGCUUCAGAUGCUGAACGUGUGCAUGGAACGGCGCACGCUACGUGACGGUGGACUCCCGUUUGCAAUGCGACCAAGCACAACAGGACCAUCGGCAACCGGUGGUGGUGGUGAUCAGUCGGAUGAAGAGUUCUUCGACUGUUCGGACGAUGAGCAAGAGUCCGGUGCAGCAGGACGGUUGUCUCGGCUCGGUAACAUGUUGCUGGUAAACACGGACGAACCGUUGUACAUUCCGGUCACGCAAGAACCCGUCCCGAAGACGGAGGAUCAGCUCGAAGAUGAUGCGGAGGUAAUGCUAAAGCUUGGUCCCGGCAGUGAGCUUUGUACGCAGAUGAUGAGCGCAUCGCUACUGUCCGACAUGGAAAGCUUUAAGGCGGCCAAUCCAGCCGGCCAGCUGGAAGACUUUAUCCGUUGGUACAGUCCGCGCGAUUGGAUCGAGGACGAACCGGUGGAUGAGCAGGACCCGUUCGGUCGAAAAGGGCACCUGAGUGCACGGAUGCUGAUUCCGGGUAACACCUGGCAGACGGUUUGGGAAGGUGCAAGACCCAUCCCGGCUCGACGGCAAAAGCGCCUGUUCGACGAUACGCGAGAAGCGGAGAAAGUUCUACACUUUCUUGAGUCCCGUACGAUCGGCCAGAUUGCUCAACUGACGAUGGCAACUCUUUUUCACGUUGGCGUGCUAACACUCGCGCAAAAUGCCACCCCGGAUCGGGACGUCGUGCCACAGUUUGAUGAAACCAUUGACCAUAUAACAGCGGCCUGUUGUCGGCUGUCCCGAGAGAAUUGGUCCAGCGGAAUAACAGGCACCGGGCCAGCACGGGCCAACUCUCAAACGAAGUACGAGCAGCAGCUGCUCACGGAAAUGAUGCAGCUCGAAUGUACCGUCACACAGGCACGCAGCUUACAGCGCAAGCUGUUCCCGGCUGUAUCGAGCGAAAGCCCUACACUAUCCGACGAAAAGCUCUCGCAACAAAAGCAGCUUAUACAGGGGUUGCUUCAAGUGCGCGAAACAAAUCUACUAGAGGGCGCUAACAACCCUACGGCUGGUCGUUUAAUGGGCCUAUUUGCUGAAGCUAAAAGGGCUGCAAACGAACAGGGAAAUAACAACGAGCAGCAGCAACACCAGUCGAGUGGAAAUGCCUUGCCUGAUCCAGUCGAAAAACAAUUUACUCUGCGCCUUACUGGUAACACCAUCAGUAAGGGAGUAGGAUCACCGCAAUUUUUGAGAGCAAUCCUGAUGCCUCAAGAAUUUCGUCUGUGUGGAGCAUUCAGCCGUAACACCACAUUUUACUAAUGUGCAAUCUGUUUUUUUUGUGAAGUUUCCACCGUGCCAUUUGCUGAUACAAAAAAACAGAGCCAUUAGUAAGCUUACCGGUAUCAACCAGAACCGGGAAAGACAUCACCCACCCCAAGACCAGCAAAAGCGACAGGAACACAUCAGUGGCAGCGAGUCGGGAAUCGCACUCAUUAAAACAUUCUUUUUCCCAUUCCCGGACCUACGCGCUCAACUCCAUCGCUCCAUCGAGUUCUACACAAUCAGGCACACACACAAUGGUAAGUCGAAAUCUUUUCCUACGGCAAAUGCUAUCCUGGUUCCUGGUACGAUUGUCACUAUUCACACUGCCACACGCUUCGGUGACCACGUACGGAACUAGAAUUUCCAAUUGUGCUGCCACUGCCGAGGUGAAAUUGUGCGCUUUUCCGGCGAACGAAAAUGGUAAGUUAUUUUAUUGUCGAUUUAUGAACUUUGCAUGCAGCUUCAGCCAGACUUCAGUGGGAGGACGAGGAUGUAGAGUCAGAUCUUCGUUGAGUCUGUUCUAUUUUUGUGAAAGUGUUGUAGAUGGUGGACGCAUUUGUCUGUGUGCCUUUUCCCAACUCAGCUCAGAGAUAUGAUAAACGGUUUCAGUUUCUAGUUUUGACAAAUCACUAGUCGACGAUGUGAGUUCAUAAAGGAAGACCGGGAGAUGUACAUGAUCAAUUGAACAUACAAUUUCCUUUGAGAAAAAUGUUACUGAAAAAUUUUUAUCAUGAAACUGGCCUGUCAUAUUAGUUGGUGGAGUAAUAUUUUUUGCAGAAGCUAUUUUAACUACUUCAUCUUUAAUUAUAGUGAUUUUUUUAAGCACUGUAGAGAAUUAAGUUUUUAUAAAACACUAUCAUUAAAUGACCAACUCCCUUAAUGAUGUAGCAAAGUGCAGUAAUUAAUGUGCCUCUUUCCUUUGGGAGAUAAAUCUUCCUCAUUAUCGUAUCGUUUCGUUUUUAGUGCCAUCCUUUCGGUUGCACUGCGUUAUCUUUCUGCUGAAUACCCAUGAAGUAACACUCCAGAGACCAAUAAACAUUCUUUCAGUAGGUCAAAAAUGUUUACAGAAUAACUACACAAAAACAUCAUCAAACCAAACAACGAUAAUAAGGCAUGACAGAGAGUGUAAUGAUGAAUAUUGCUGUCAUGAAAUUAGAAAAAAAUCUUUAAAGCCUUAUUAUUUAAUUUUUUUUAAAUUGUUCUUAUGCCUUGACAUUCAUUUUGUUAUAAACAAACUUUUUGGGAAGAACAAAAAUUGUAUUUAAAAGCAAACAAUUUUUAUUCAAUGAAAAAGUCAAGUAAUUAUUAUACAACAAAGCACACCAGGUCGAUUUUGACUUUAAAUUCCAAAGUUAUUCAGCCUUCCAAAGCACUAUGCAUAUGGAAAAAAAUUAAAGAUCCAACCACCAGAGGUAGUGGAGCCAAAUUGUUUAAAAGUAGACAGUAUAAAUCAUAUCUGUUAAAUUGAUUUACAAACACUUCUGGAGUUUUCAGAUUCUAGAAACCAUACCAUAUUUUCAUACAUUAUUAAUUUUCUUCCAAAUAAUGUGUCUGGCGUCCAAUUUGCAUCACAAAAUUCAUUAUCUAGUCAAUUUAGUUUACCACGCGAAAAUGGUCCCAUGUGCUUGGCGUGCUGCGCUCAAAUCUUCCUCGGGUUUAAAAUUGCUUAACUCUACAAAACCCACCAACGUGAAUUUGCCAAAAGCAGUCGUUUUUCCCACCUAAUAGGGUGCGUUACAAUACACUUUCCCAAUGCGGGUGUGUACAGGUGCGUUUUCCACGAUACAUCGCCAGCCACAUAUUCGGUAAAGCUUGUGGUUAAAUAGAUUCGGUAGCUAGUACGGUUAGGUUGGUUCAGCUUAUUUUGGGAAUUUAAUUUGUUGACAGCAUUAUGUGGUGCGGUUAAUAGGUACGAGCUUGUCGCAUUCCGAUGUUUAUCCCGUGGUGAAUAGUUUAAGGAACAGAGCACCCUUCACCAGGUAAUGUAAAAUAUGCCGUGUUGCACUCUAACAGGUUUGCUUCAGACGGCCAGAAAUUGUAUGUUAUUGUUAUCGAACAUAUUUGCAAACAUUAUGCUUUUCUUCUAAUAUUUUCCCUCCCCAAAAAAGGGUACAAUAACCCCAAAACGAAAGUUUGAUUACAUUCUCUUUUCGAUUAGCUAGGUGGCUAUCGAAGCUACAAACGUUCCAUGAAAAAUCGCUCACCAAGUGCAUUCACUCUCUGGACACAUCUUCAUAAAGAUGUGCUUCUUUUGUUCGAUCCACAAUGAUUUUUGGCAGCAGCUGUCCCAUUGAUGGAGGCUAAUGUACCAGCUAAAGUUAGCUUUUGUGCUAGUGUUUUUGGACGGCGUUGUGGAGCUUGUGAAUGGGGGGAUUCUGAUGAAUAAGAAAUUCCACACUAAUUGCUAUUCAAUCUCCAUUAAUCCAUUCGGUCUAGACGGAGCACAAUGAACCACG